UCAUAAGAACCGGGGUGCUGGAAUUGGCCGGCUGAGAUUGUAUACCUUAACAUACUGACCCUUAUACCUGAUCUGGGUAAUGCCAGCGUAGGAAUGUGUAUUUAGUGGUCU
rnacentral:ncRNA from 2 species